rnacentral:lncRNA from 1 species
UUCUUCCUCACACCUGACGCAUAUACUUUCUGCUCCCUGGCUCCUUCAGCUGUACUCACUCUUUGUUGAGUCUCCCACAAUUACCAUUGUUCCUGGCCCGGACGUCAAUCCGGCCUCCCACAUUAUUCCUGAUACCACACCUGACCCUCAUGACUGCAUCUCUCUGAUCCACCUGACAUUCACCCCAUUUCCCCACAUUUCCUUCUUCCCUGUUUCUCACCCUGAUCACACUUGGUUUAUUGAUGACAGUUCCACCAGGCCUAAUCGCCACACACCAGCAAAGGCAGGCUAUGCUAUAGCACAAGCCACUAGCCCGCCUCCCAGAACCUCUCAUUUCCUUUCCAUCGUGGAAAUCUAUCCUCAGGGAAAUAACUUCUCAGUGUUCCGUCUGCUAUUCUACUACUCCUCAGGGAUUAUUCAGGCCCCCUUCCUUCCUUGUACACACC